AAGCGGGAAGAGCUCAAAUUUAAAAUCUGGCGGGGUAUUCCGUCCGAAUUGUAGUCUAAAAAAACAUCCUCCGCGUCCGACCAUGUACAAGUCUCUUGGAACAGAACGUCCUAAAGGGGGAAAAUCCCGUCCUUGACAUGGACUCCCGGGGCUUUGUGUUGUGCUCUCCACCAAUCCAGUUGUUUGGGAAUGCCGCUCAAAAUGGGGGGGAAAUUCCAUCUAAAGCUAAAUAUUGGCGAAAAACCGAUAGCGAACAAGUACCGUGAGGGAAAAAUGAAAAGCACUUUGGAAAAAAAGUUAAACAGUACGUGAAAUUGUUGAAAUGGAAACCCUUGAAGUCCGUCCCGUUCUCUGGGAUUCCGCCUUGCUUCUGCUUGGUGCAUUUCCUAAUCUACGGGCCC
rnacentral:rRNA from 1 species